rnacentral:rRNA from 1 species
UACAGAGGUCCCGAGCGUUGUUCGGAUUCACUGGGCGUAAAGGGUGCGUAGGUGGUGAGGUAAGUCGGCUGUGAAAUCUCCGGGCUCAACCCGGAAAUGGCAUUGGAAACUACCUUGCUGGAGGAUUUGAGGGGGGAUUGGAAUACUUGGUGUAGCAGUGAAAUGCGUAGAUAUCAAGUGGAACACCAGUGGCGAAGGCGAAUCCCUGGAAAAUACCUGACACUGAGGCACGAAAGCUAGGGGAGCAAACAGG